rnacentral:lncRNA from 10 species
GUGGGUGUUAUCAAGUGAAUUAGUCACUUGAAAGAUGGGCGUCAGACUUGCAUACGCAGCAGAUCAGCAUCCUUCGCUGCCCCUUAGCAACUUAGGUGGUUGAUUUGAAACUGUGAAGGUGUGAUUUUUUCAGGAGCUGGAAGUCUUAGAAAAGCCUUGUAAAUGCCUAUAUUGUGGGCUUUUAACGUAUUUAAGGGACCACUUAAGACGAGAUUAGAUGGGCUCUUCUGGAUUUGUUCCUCAUUUGUCACAGGUGUCUUGUGAUUGAAAAUCAUGAGCGAAGUGAAAUUGCAUUGAAUUUCAAGGGAAUUUAGUAUGUAAAUCGUGCCUUAGAAACACAUCUGUUGUCUUUUCUGUGUUUGGUCGAUAUUAAUAAUGGCAAAAUUUUUGCCUAUCUAGUAUCUUCAAAUUGUAGUCUUUGUAACAACCAAAUAACCUUUUGUGGUCACUGUAAAAUUAAUAUUUGGUAGACAGAAUCCAUGUACCUUUGCUAAGGUUAGAAUGAAUAAUUUAUUGUAUUUUUAAUUUGAAUGUUUGUGCUUUUUAAAUGAGCCAAGACUAGAGGGGAAACUAUCACCUAAAAUCAGUUUGGAAAACAAGACCUAAAAAGGGAAGGGGAUGGGGAUUGUGGGGAGAGAGUGGGCGAGGUGCCUUUACUACAUGUGUGAUCUGAAAACCCUGCUUGGUUCUGAGCUGCGUCUAUUGAAUUGGUAAAGUAAUACCAAUGGCUUUUUAUCAUUUCCUUCUUCCCUUUAAGUUUCACUUGAAAUUUUAAAAAUCAUGGUUAUUUUUAUCGUUGGGAUCUUUCUGUCUUCUGGGUUCCAUUUUUUAAAUGUUUAAAAAUAUGUUGACAUGGUAGUUCAGUUCUUAACCAAUGACUUGGGGAUGAUGCAAACAAUUACUGUCGUUGGGAUUUAGAGUGUAUUAGUCACGCAUGUAUGGGGAAGUAGUCUCGGGUAUGCUGUUGUGAAAUUGAAACUGUAAAAGUAGAUGGUUGAAAGUACUGGUAUGUUGCUCUGUAUGGUAAGAACUAAUUCUGUUACGUCAUGUACAUAAUUACUAAUCACUUUUCUUCCCCUUUACAGCACAAAUAAAGUUUGAGUUCUAAACUCAUUA